GGAGGAAAGUAGGGGAUCGCAAGACCUUGCGCUCUUGGAGCGGCCGAUGUCUGAUUAGCUAGUUGGUGAGGUAAAGGCUUACCAAGGCGACGAUCAGUAGCUGGUCUGAGAGGACGACCAGCCACACUGGGACUGAGACACGGCCCAGACUCCUACGGGAGGCAGCAGUGGGGAAUUUUGGACAAUGGGGGAAACCCUGAUCCAGCCAUGCCGCGUGAGUGAAGAAGGCCUUCGGGUUGUAAAGCUCUUUCAGCCGGAACGAAACGGUCACGGCUAAUACCUGUGACUACUGACGGUACCGGAAGAAGAAGCACCGGCUAACUACGUGCCAGCAGCCGCGGUAAUACGUAGGGUGCAAGCGUUAAUCGGAAUUACUGGGCGUAAAGCGUGCGCAGGCGGUUUUGUAAGUCAGAUGUGAAAUCCCCGGGCUUAACCUGGGAACUGCGUUUGAAACUACAAAGCUAG
rnacentral:rRNA from 1 species